rnacentral:pre_miRNA from 1 species
CAACCUCCGCAGGCUGUCUGGCCCCCAGGCCGGGCUGAGCGAGUAUCUCUUCGAAAGGCUCACCCUGAAGCACAACUAGGAGA